rnacentral:rRNA from 1 species
AUUGAACGCUGGCGGCAUGCUUUACACAUGCAAGUCGAACGGUAACAGGCCGCAAGGUGCUGACGAGUGGCGAACGGGUGAGUAAUGCAUCGGAACGUGCCCAGUCGUGGGGGAUAACUACUCGAAAGAGUAGCUAAUACCGCAUACGAUCUAUGGAUGAAAGCGGGGGACCGUAAGGCCUCGCGCGAUUGGAGCGGCCGAUGUCAGAUUAGGUAGUUGGUGGGGUAAAGGCUCACCAAGCCAACGAUCUGUAGCUGGUCUGAGAGGACAACCAGCCACACUGGGACUGAGACACGGCCCAGACUCCUACGGGAGGCAGCAGUGGGGAAUUUUGGACAAUGGGCGCAAGCCUGAUCCAGCAAUGCCGCGUGCAGGAAGAGGGCCUUCGGGUUGUAAACUGCUUUUGUACGGAACGAAACGGCUCUGGUUAAUACCCGGGGCUAAUGACGGUACCGUAAGAAUAAGCACCGGCUAACUACGUG